rnacentral:rRNA from 1 species
CAGCCGCCGCGGGAAUACGAAGGGUGCAAGCGUUAAUCGGAAUUACUGGGCGUAAAGCGCGCGUAGGUGGUUUGGUAAGAUGGAUGUGAAAUCCCCGGGCUCAACCUGGGAACUGCAUCCAUAACUGCCUGACUAGAGUACGGUAGAGGGUGGUGGAAUUUCCUGUGUAGCGGUGAAAUGCGUAGAUAUAGGAAGGAACACCAGUGGCGAAGGCGACCACCUGGACUGAUACUGACACUGAGGUGCGAAAGCAUGGGGAGCAAACAGGAUUAGAUACCCGAGUAGUCCCUGUCUCUUAUAC